rnacentral:rRNA from 1 species
CCUACGGGUGGCAGCAGUAGGGAAUCUUCCACAAUGGGCGAAAGCCUGAUGGAGCAACGUCGCGUGGGUGAAGAAGGUCUUCGGAUCGUAAAACCCUGUUGUUAGAGAAGAAAGUGCGUGAGAGUAACUGUUCACGUUUCGACGGUAUCUAACCAGAAAGCCACGGCUAACUACGUGCCAGCAGCCGCGGUAAUACGUAGGUGGCAAGCGUUAUCCGGAUUUAUUGGGUUUAAAGGGUGCGCAGGCGGAGGCACAAGUCAGGGGUAAAAUCGGGGGGCUCAACCCCGCUCGGCCGUUGAAACUGUGUCCCUUGAGGGGGCGAAGGGUAGGCGGAAGGCGUGGUGUAGCGGUGAAAUGCAUAGAUAUCACGAAGAACUCCGAUCGCGAAGGCAGCCUACCGGCGCGCAACUGACGCUCAUGAACGAAAGCGUGGGUAUCGAACAGGAUUAGAUACCCGGUAGUC